rnacentral:rRNA from 1 species
UGGGGAAUAUUGGACAAUGGGCGAAAGCCUGAUCCAGCCAUGCCGCGUGUGGGAAGAAGGUCUUCGGAUUGUAAAGCACUUUAAGUUGGGAGGAAGGGCAGUAAGUUAAUACCUUGCUGUUUUGACGUUACCGACAGAAUAAGCACCGGCUAACUCUGUGCCAGCAGCCGCGGUAAUACAGAGGGUGCAAGCGUUAAUCGGAAUUACUGGGCGUAAAGCGCGCGUAGGUGGUUUGUUAAGUUGGAUGUGAAAGCCCCGGGCUCAACCUGGGAACUGCAUCCAAAACUGGCAGGCUAGAGUACGGUAGAGGGUGGUGGAAUUUCCUGUGUAGCGGUGAAAUGCGUAGAUAUAGGAAGGAACACCAGUGGCGAAGGCGACCACCUGGACUGAUACUGACACUGAGGUGCGAAAGCGUGGGGAGCAAACA